UGGGGAAUAUUGCACAAUGGGCGCAAGCCUGAUGCAGCCAUGCCGCGUGUAUGAAGAAGGCCUUCGGGUUGUAAAGUACUUUCAGUCGGGAGGAAGGUGGUAAGGUUAAUAACCUUAUCAAUUGACGUUACCGACAGAAGAAGCACCGGCUAACUCCGUGCCAGCAGCCGCGGUAAUACGGUGGGUGCAAGCGUUAAUCGGAAUUACUGGGCGUAAAGCGCACGCAGGCGGUUGAUUGAGUCAGAUGUGAAAUCCCCGGGCUUAACCCGGGAAUUGCAUCUGAUACUGGACAGCUAGAGUCUUGUAGAGGGGGGUAGAAUUCCAUGUGUAGCGGUGAAAUGCGUAGAGAUGUGGAGGAAUACCGGUGGCGAAGGCGGCCCCCUGGACAAAGACUGACGCUCAGGUGCGAAAGCGUGGGGAGCAAACAGG
rnacentral:rRNA from 1 species